rnacentral:rRNA from 1 species
UACAGAGGGGGCAAGCGUUGUUCGGAAUUACUGGGCGUAAAGGGCGCGUAGGCGGCCUGCUAAGUCGAACGUGAAAUCCCCGGGCUUAACCCGGGAACUGCGUCCGAUACUGGUUGGCUUGAAUUCGGGAGAGGGAUGCGGAAUUCCAGGUGUAGCGGUGAAAUGCGUAGAUAUCUGGAGGAACACCGGUGGCGAAGGCGGCAUCCUGGACCGGCAUUGACGCUGAGGCGCGAAAGCCAGGGGAGCAAACGGG